GACCUCAAAUCAGGUAGGACUACCCGCUGAACUUAAGCANAUCAAUAAGCGGAGGAAAAGAAACUAACGAGGAUUCCCCUAGUAACUGCGAGUGAAGCGGGAACAGCUCAAAUUUCUAAUCUGGCGGUC
rnacentral:rRNA from 1 species